GUGGGGAAUAUUGGACAAUGGGCGAAAGCCUGAUCCAGCCAUGCCGCGUGUGUGAAGAAGGUCUUCGGAUUGUAAAGCACUUUAAGUUGGGAGGAAGGGCAGUAAGUUAAUACCUUGCUGUUUUGACGUUACCGACAGAAUAAGCACCGGCUAACUUCGUGCCAGCAGCCGCGGUAAUACGAAGGGUGCAAGCGUUAAUCGGAAUUACUGGGCAUAAAGCGCGCGUAGGUGGUUUUGUAAGUUGGAGGUGAAAUCCCCGGGCUCAACCUGGGAACUGCCUCCAAAACUGCAUGACUAGAGUACGGUAGAGGGUAGUGGAAUUUCCUGUGUAGCGGUGAAAUGCGUAGAUAUAGGAAGGAACACCAGUGGCGAAGGCGACUACCUGGACUGAUACUGACACUGAGGUGCGAAAGCGUGGGGAGCAAACAGGAUUAGAAACCCCAGUAGUCC
rnacentral:rRNA from 1 species